CUUGCGGCCACAUUACGAUGAGACACCGGUUCCCGUAGAUUAACGAAGUUAAGCAAAGGGCCUGGUUAGUACUUUGAUGGGUGACCAUCUGGGGAUACCACGUGCUGUAAG